ACGAAGGGGGCGAGCGUUGUUCGGAAUUAUUGGGCGUAAAGGGCGCGUAGGCGGUGCGGUAAGUCUGUAGUGAAAUCUCUGGGCUCAACUCAGAGUCUGCUGCAGAAACUGCCGUGCUUGAGUGUGGGAGAGGUGAGUGGAAUUCCCGGUGUAGCGGUGAAAUGCGUAGAGAUGUGGAGGAACACCAGUGGCGAAGGCGACUCUCUGGUCUGUAACUGACGCUGAGGUGCGAAAGCGUGGGUAGCGAACAGGA
rnacentral:rRNA from 1 species